GAAGGUCCGACGGUGACUGCGGCUAUUGUCCCAUUCUGACGGACACUCUGGGCUGAGAGACACUUCCAAGGGGGAGGGGUCCACCAGGCAGGGGCUCGGACCAAUCAUGAGAAUGGUGCUCUGAAAGACAACCAGAGAGAGCUAAACAGCCCAGCUGGAAAGAGCCAGGAGGAAUCAGGCAUAACAGGAGCUUCAAUACGGAAGAGAACAGACCGCUGGCAGCAACCGAGGAGCAGAAAGAAACACAAGCUCAGAGAAGCUGAAGCGAUUCAGAGAAUCAAGAUAGAAAGCAGUGGAAAACGUUUUAGCUCUAGGAAAAAGUCCUACUACUACCACCACUACCCCUCAGACAGACCAUAGAAUGAUCGUGGGUCGUUAAACGGUCCUGCUACUUGUGCUCACGUAAUCCUCCUUCCUUGCGAAGGCUAUCUGUUGGAGAACCCGACACGUCGGCACUCACGAAUCAAUUAGUGCACAUUAAAGACGCCAGCCUCAGACUAACUCUAAUCCUAAUCCCAAAAUGAGAGCCCAAGGAUUGGUAGAAUGGAAGAGAGAGAUACAGAGUUGCAGAAAACAGGAUGAGAGUCAAUGGGAGAGGGUGUGUGCAUGUAUAAUAAUGAUAUGUAUCAAGGUUUCUGUUAGCCAGUAAUAGCCGGCUUUUGGCCAUAAAACCAUUUAAACGCCGAUAAAUGAAAUUGGCAACGGACAAUUGUCCCCCCCACCUGAAAAAAAACAUUGCGAAAUAAUGCUUUAUAGCCUACUCAUUGUUAGAAAUACAUUUGACCAGUCAGGCUUAUUGGUCUAUGGGUUAAUUUGCAUUAUUUUGUAGAAUUAAAUUGGCACGUAUAUUCUUUAUGCUACACACGCACAAUACAGCCUUUUUGUGGAAAAUCUGUCAGCUAGCCCUUUAAGGCCAAACCAUUUCACAAAAACUAUUCAUGCAAUCUGUUAACAAUAGUUUUAGGGCCACAAUUAAAAAGAGAGCAUUUUAAUUAUAAUAAACAUGCAGCUUUUUUUAUCAACUGGU